rnacentral:lncRNA from 1 species
GAAUUAACCAUGGGAAACCCGAGGCCAUGGACUUGACUUCGGUCACAAGGGACGACUUGAAUACGGCUAUGGCCGCCCUCAAGACGUCCUUGACGAACGAAGUCAAGACCAUGCUUAAAGAGUUAAUUGAGGGAUUUAAAAGUCCAUCCGAACCGGCGUUAGUGGUUAAACCCACCAUCACCGAUUCGGAGGCCAAUUCCUCUAAGGAAGCGGCUAAAGGUAUGCGACCUUCCUCAUCUCACGAAAAGGAUGGGACUGGAACCUAUGCCUCAGUUCCACCCUCAUGGUCUAUGGAGGAUCCGUUCCCACAC